UUUGAACACAUGAGCUGCACUAGUCCAGUAUCAGUAGGCCAAUGGACUAACAUGAACAUCAUUCAGGUAAUGAUUUAGAGAAAGCGAGAAAGCUAGUUCUCUGAGCAGUCUAUUUUUUAGCUGGUGCAGGGGGAGAGAGUCACGUCACUUGGCUGAAGUAACCAUACAAGAAAAAGGAAGAUGACGGCAUUGUCAUCAUCAUUAUCAUCAUCACCAUCAUCCCACAAGCAUUUGCAUGGCAAAAGCCAUUUGAUGCAGGCCAGCUUGAGAAGAGAGAGACAAUCAUGAUGUUUGGAAGUGGGACACAUAUUUUCACAAUAAAGUACAUUUAACCAGAGUAUGAUGAGAAGAUUGUUCAAAACUGCUGGGGAGAGGGAUAGCUAAGAGACAAUAAAAUGCCUUAUCUCAUGUGCCUCACAUCAAACUGCUUCUCUUAUAGAAAGUUUUGGAAAUACCUGAGAAAUAAAUUGAUACAUAAAUGAAACAGUAAUGAGUCCCAUCCAAGC